rnacentral:rRNA from 1 species
GACGAACGCUGGCGGCGUGCUUAACACAUGCAAGUCGAACGGAAAGGCCCCUUUGGGGGUACUCGAGUGGCGAACGGGUGAGUAACACGUGAGUAACCUGCCCUUGACUUCGGGAUAACUUCAGGAAACUGGGGCUAAUACCGGAUAGGAAUCCUUGCUGCAUGGUGGGGGUUGGAAAGCUUCGGCGGUUUUGGAUGGACUCGCGGCUUAUCAGCUUGUUGGUGGGGUAGUGGCUUACCAAGGCUUUGACGGGUAGCCGGCCUGAGAGGGCGACCGGCCACAUUGGGACUGAGAUACGGCCCAGACGCCUACGGGAGGCAGCAGUGGGGAAUAUUGCACAAUGGGCGGAAGCCUGAUGCAGCAACGCCGCGUGCGGGAUGACGGCCUUCGGGUUGGAAACCGCUUUCAGCAGGGGCGAAGCUUGUGGUGACGGUACCUGCAGAAGAAGCACCGGCUAACUACGUG